UCGGCCUAUGGAUAAGCAUCCUUUGUGGUGUAUUCUUAUCACGUUGUUCGUUCCAGACAUAGACAUACCCCUUUGAAGUAGGGAAACCAUAGUUAUCCUCUCUAUUCUCCUACCAUCACCUAUAUAUUAGAUUUCUCUACACUCUAUUCCCAUAUUAUCACCCAUUGUUAUCUUACCUUUAAUAUUGUUCUUAUUCAAUUUUAUCAUCUUUCCUAUUUACACCUACCUAUCUAUCUAGGUUAACUUAGAGCAUAGAUCAGUUCUCCCGUUUCCCUGUGGAUACGAUAAAACCUUUAACUGGGUAAAAGCUACAACGGUAUCCGUGCGCUUGCGGAAUUAUCUGUGUGCGUAUAAAUACCAUAGUACACUCUAGUGCCAUGCUGGGGACGACAACCUAGUAUUCAAGUGGUGUUAGCAAAUGUCAACAAGCAUUUUUUGCGUCGUUGCCGGGGAGACGGUUGCUGAGUUGACUAUGAACUAGCUUAAUCAUUUUCUAAAAAAAUAUAAAAAAAAUAUAAAAUAUAUACUUUUCCUUUUAUCUUUUGCCUUAUCUCUGCUAUUCUUUCUUCUUAUCUAAUCCUUGAUCUCUGGUCUAUCAUGAAUUCAAACAUGUCUAUCUAUGAAUUAAUAGACCUACGGGCAUACAUCUCGAACCACCAAAAUCUUCAAAGCCUAUCAUGACAUCUAGUUUUGAGAUAAGCCCGAAAUACAAAGAAUUUCUUCAAAAACAACCUUUCUCAGGAGAAGGUGAGGAAAACCCAUACACAC
rnacentral:lncRNA from 1 species